rnacentral:rRNA from 1 species
GUCUAUGGCCAUGCCACCCUGAAUGUGCCCGAUCUCGUGAGUUAAGCAGGAUCGAGCCUGGUUAGUACUUGGAUGGGAGACCACCUAGGAAUACUGGGUGCUGUAGGAA